rnacentral:rRNA from 1 species
AGUGAACGCUGGCGGUAGGCCUAACACAUGCAAGUCGAACGGCAGCACAGUAAGAGCUUGCUCUUACGGGUGGCGAGUGGCGGACGGGUGAGGAAUACAUCGGAAUCUACUUUUUCGUGGGGGAUAACGUAGGGAAACUUACGCUAAUACCGCAUACGACCUACGGGUGAAAGCAGGGGAUCUUCGGACCUUGCGCGAUUGAAUGAGCCGAUGUCGGAUUAGCUAGUUGGCGGGUAAAGGCCCACCAAGGCGACGAUCCGUAGCUGGUCUGAGAGGAUGAUCAGCCACACUGGAACUGAGACACGGUCCAGACUCCUACGGGAGGCAGCAGUGGGGAAUAUUGGACAAUGGGCGCAAGCCUGAUCCAGCCAUACCGCGUGGGUGAAGAAGGCCUUCGGGUUGUAAAGCCCUUUUGUUGGGAAAGAAAAGCAGCAGGUUAAUACCCCGCUGUUCUGACGGUACCCAAAGAAUAAGCACCGGCUAACUUCGU